rnacentral:rRNA from 1 species
UGCCCCAGUAACGGCGAGUGAAGCGGCAACAGCUCAAAUUUGAAAUCUGGCUCUUUUAGAGUCCGAGUUGUAAUUUGCAGAGGGCGCUUUGGCUUUGGCAGCGGUCCAAGUUCCUUGGAACAGGACGUCACAGAGGGUGAGAAUCCCGUACGUGGUCGCUGGCUAUUGCCGUGUAAAGCCCCUUCGACGAGUCGAGUUGUUUGGGAAUGCAGCUCUAAAUGGGAGGUACAUUUCUUCUAAAGCUAAAUAUUGGCCAGAGACCGAUAGCGCACAAGUAGAGUGAUCGAAAGAUGAAAAGCACUUUGGAAAGAGAGUCAAACAGCACGUGAAAUUGUUGAAAGGGAAGCGCUUGCAGCCAGACUUGCUUGCAGUUGCUCAUCCGGGCUUUUGCCCGGUGCACUCUUCUGCAGGCAGGCCAGCAUCAGUUUGGGCGGUAAGAUAAAGGUCUCUGUCACGUACCUCUCUUCGGGGAGGCCUUAUAGGGGAGACGACAUAUUACCAGCCUGGACUGAGGUCCGCGCAUCUGCUAGGAUGCUGGCGUAAUGGCUGUAAGCGGCCCGUCUUGAAACACGGACCAAGGAGUCUAACAUCUAUGCGAGUGUUUGGGUGUCAAGCCCGAGCGCGUAAUGAAAGUGAACGGAGGUAGGAACCCGCAAGGGUGCACUAUCGACCGAUCCUGAUGUCUUCGGAAGGAUUUGAGUAAGAGCAUGGCUGUUGGGACCCGAAAGAUGGUGAACUAUGCUUGAAUAGGGUGAAGCCAGAGGAAACUCUGGUGGAGGCUCGCAGCGGUUCUGACGUGCAAAUCGAUCGUCA